UAAAGUGGCGUACGGGUGAGUAACACGUGGAUCAUCCACCUCUUAGUGGGGAAUAACAUUGGGAAACCGAAGCUAAUACCGCAUAAGCCUGAGAAGGGAAAGAAGCAAUUCGCUGAGAGAGGAGUCCGCGGCCGAUUAGCUAGUUGGUAGGGUAAUGGCCUACCAAGGCGAUGAUCGGUAGCCGGCCUGAGAGGGCACACGGCCACACUGGCACUGAAACACGGGCCAG
rnacentral:rRNA from 1 species